rnacentral:misc_RNA from 1 species
GGAAGUAAAAGUCGAACAAGGUUUCCGUAGGUGAACCUGCGGAAGGAUCAUUACUGAGUGAGGGCCCCUCGGGGUCCAACCUCCCACCCGUGUUUAACGAACCUUGUUGCUUCGGCGGGCCCGCCUCACGGCCGCCGGGGGGCAUCUGCCCCCGGGCCCGCGCCCGCCGAAGCCACCUGUGAACGCUGUCUGAAGUAUGCAGUCUGAGACAAUCAUUAAAUUAAUUAAAACUUUCAACAACGGAUCUCUUGGUUCCG